AUGGAGGCGCAGGCCACGGCGACGGUGAAGGAGGCGCUCGCGGCGCUGUACCACCACCCCGACGACACCAUCCGCACCGCUGCCGACCGCUGGCUGCAGAAGUUUCAGCACACGCUCGACGCGUGGCAGGUAGCUGACAGCUUACUUCAUGAUGAAAGCAGCAAUUUAGAGACUCUCAUGUUUUGUUCUCAGACUCUCAGAAGCAAGGUGCAAAGAGAUUUUGAGGAGUUACCGUCAGAAGCUUUUCGACCAUUGCAAGACUCUCUAUAUGGAUUGCUAAAGAAAUUUAACAAAGGACCACCAAAAGUUAGAACACAGAUUUGUAUUGCAAUUGCUGCUCUGGCUGUGCAUGUACCUGUGGAGGACUGGGGAGGUGGUGGCAUCGUGAACUGGCUAGGCGAUGAAAUGAAAUCUCAACAAGAGUUCAUUCCAAGUUUCCUUGAACUGCUUAUUAUCUUGCCACAGGAAACUUCUAGUUAUAAAAUAGCUGCUCGUCCUGAAAGGCGCAAUCAGUUUGAGAACGACCUUUGUUCAUCAGCUAAUGUUGCUCUUAGUCUAUUGACUGCUUGCUUGGGUUUUGACGAGCUGAAAGAACAGGUUUUGGAGGGUUUUGCUUCUUGGCUUCGUUUCUGUCAUGGGUAUGCUGCUUCUGCGAUUUUGAUAUAUUCUCUUUUAUUUUUUCUCAGAAUUACCGCAGCUACCCUUGCUUCACAUCCUUUGGUCCACAUGGCACUCUCUUCGUUGAACACAGAUCAAUUUCUGGAGGCAGCUGUAAAUGUUACCUCUGAGUUGAUACAUUUUACUGUAUCUCGAGAUUCUUGUGGCAUCACUGAACAGUUUCCGCUGAUCCAAAUUCUCAUCCCUCAUGUUAUGGGCCUCAAAGAGCAGCUGAAAGACUCAUCUAAGGAUGAAGAAGAUGUAAAAGCUAUUGCUCGUUUAUUUGCAGACAUGGGUGAUUCCUAUGUUGACUUGAUUGCAACAGGUUCAGGCGAUGCCAUGCAAAUAGUGAAUGCACUACUGGAAGUUACUUCCCAUUCAGAAUUUGACAUAUCCUCCAUGACGUUUAAUUUCUGGCACCAUCUUAAGCGUAAUCUAACUGGGAGGGAUUCGUAUACAUCGUGUGGAUCUGAGGUGUCGAUUGAAGCUGAAAGAAAUAGAAGAAUGCAACUAUUCCGUCCUCCGUUUGAAGUUCUUGUGUCUCUGGUUAGUUCCCGAGUUGAAUACCCUGAGGACUUUCACACUUUCUCGGAAGAAGACCGGAGGGAUUUCAGAUAUGCUAGAUAUGCGGUUAGUGACGUGCUACUUGAUGCAACUGAUGUCCUUGGAGGUGACUCGACGCUAAAAAUACUUUUCAUGAAGUUAAUUCAGGCAUGUGGAAGCGGUGCUGAACAGAACCAGAAUUGGCAACCAUUAGAGGCUGCCCUUUUCUGUAUACAAGCCAUUGCUAAAUCGGUUUCUAUUGAAGAGAAGGAAAUAUUACCACAGGUUAUGCCACUGCUUCCAAGGUUUCCUCACCAAGAACAGUUGCUACAGACAGUUUGUUCAACCAUUGGAGCAUUUUCAAAAUGGAUUGAUGCUGCCCCAGCUGAACUGCCCAUCCUACCACCUUUGGUUGAUAUUCUCAACAAGGGCAUGAGUACAUCAGAGGCUACAGCUGCAGCUGCUUCUGUGGCAUUUAAGUAUAUAUGUGAAGGCUGCAGGGGAAAGUUCUCGGGUUCAUUGGAUGGCCUUUUCCAGAUCUAUCAUGUUGCAAUAAGUGGAGUUGGUGGUUACAAAGUUUCUUCAGAGGACUCGUUGCAUUUGGUUGAAGCCUUAAGUGUGGUUAUCACGACGCUUCCGCAAGACCAUGCUAGAAGAGCCCUGGAGUUAAUCUGCAUGCCAAUAAUUAAUAGCUUGCAGGAAAUAAUCCAGCAAGGUGAAAGUGCUCUUCAACAAGUUCCUGCUCGGCAUUUAACCGUUCACAUAGACCGGUUGUCGACCAUUUUUAGCAAUGUGAAACUUCCAGAAGUAGUUGCUGAAGCUGUCAAUAGAUACUGGUCCACUCUGAAGAUUAUCUUUGAUCAUCGGGCAUGGGAUACACGGACCAUGGAGUCUCUAUGCCGAUCUUGCAAAUUUGCUGUAAGGACAUGUGGGAGGUCCAUGGGAAUCACCAUUGGUGCAAUGCUGCUAGAAAUCCAAACACUAUAUCAGCAACACAAUCAGUCUUGCUUCCUUUACUUAUCCAGUGAAGUUAUUAAGAUAUUUGGAUCUGAUCCAUCUUGUGCGAGCUAUCUUACAUGUCUGAUACAGACACUCUUUAAUCAUACAAUACAACUGCUCAGAACUAUUCAAGAUUUUACAGCUAGACCCGACAUAGCUGAUGAUUGCUUUCUGCUUGCGUCAAGAUGUAUUCGUUACUGUCCUGAUCUAUUUGUACCUACAGAGAUUUUUCCAAGAUUAGUUGAUUGUGCAAUGGCUGGUGUAACUAUACAACAUAGGGAGGCCUGCAAAUCCAUACUGUGUUUCCUAUCUGACACCUUUGAUCUUGCGAAAUCACCCGAGGGGGAAAAGUACCGGGAUCUAAUAAACACAAUUGUACUCCUGCGAGGUGCAACACUUGCAAGAAUAAUGAUUGCUUCCUUAACAGGGGCGCUACCGUCUGGUCGCUUGGAGGAGGUCUCUUAUGUUCUGCUGUCCCUUAGCAGAGCUUUUGGUGGGAAUAUGUUGAAUUGGACAAGGGAUUGCAUUGCCCUUAUACCCCCACAAGCCCUAACAGAUUCAGAACGCUCAAGAUUCUUGACAAUUAUAUCCGAUGCAUCAUCGGGAUCUAGUCUUGGUUCGUUGACGGAUAGAUUCGCUGAAAUAUCAGAGGUUUGCAGACGAAACAAAGCGGUGCAGGAUAUAGUUCAAGCUGCUUUGCAGCCUCAUGACUUGGCCUUCACGGUUGCUCCGCGGCAUUCAUGA
rnacentral:rRNA from 1 species